UAUUCUCGAGUUUCGUGUGAAUUUAAUCGUAUACGAACACUUUCGUAUGGCGUGUUUCGUGUACGAAUCGUUCACAUACGAAAACGGUAUUCUGGAGCACUAUACGAAUCACUGAUUCGUAUACGUAUGAAAUUACAGUAUUGCCAGAUUUACGCGUUGGAGACGAGCCAAUGAUUGUUCAACUUUAGAAAAUACCAACGGAAAUAUACAUGGCGUCCUGUCAAUGUCAUGUGUAGUUUUCCGUAAACGAGAACGCUGUGCAAGAGGCCCUAGUCGCCCGUUUAUUACACUCAAGUUGUAAUGUUUUAUUGCGGCCACGGGAUGCGACGGUACUUCCGAGUGACCAUGGGUUUUGCCAAAUUUAGAAACUUGGCAGUAUUAAUCGAGAAGCGUUUGAGGAAAGGCAGUAUUAUCCCAUAAGCUUUUGCGGAAACAUCGUGGAAAGAAUUGCGUGAAACAAAAAUGUGCGACGAGGGUAAACCAACGAAAUGAACGGGGAACAUAUCCCGCGAGCAAAAAGAAAUUCUUAUUGAAUUUAUAGAAGCAAACCCAAACCUAACGAGGUCAAAAUUAUCGGCCGAUUAUACGUAUAAGGAUGGACAGCGUAUGUGGCAAAAAAUAACAAAUAUUUUAAACGCUUCGCCAGGGGCAAAGAGAGAUUGGAAACAAUGAAGACGUACGUGGCAAGAUUUCCGAGGCAAAGCGAAGGCAAAGCAGUCUUCAAUUAAUAGAAAUUUAAAUGCCACAGGCGGUGGUCCGUUAAAUACAGACAAUUUAUCGGUGGAGGAGGAACGUGUCCUCAACACAAUGCAUGCUACACAAGUAAAGGGUGAUUCCAAUAUAUGUAGAUGAAACGCCAAUACAAUUUGUACGUAAAUAUGUUUAAAAAUUGAAAAGUAUAUCCAAGGUACUAAAAUAUUACUUUUUCCAUUGAAGGACUACUCCGGAGAAUAUUUAGAUGCAAACUUGGUGGACAAUAAGAAGGUGGAAACACCAGCAGACUCGCAACCUAGCCCUUCAAUAAUAGUGGAGAGACCAACGAUUAAGAUAGAAAAAGUGAGACAGAAACACCCUCUAAGUCAAGCCACUAAAUUACAAAAACAAACCUCUGGCAUGAGAUCACAAGCUUCAGUGCUUCUGGCACGAAUAGUCGAGGAAGAUAAAGAAAAUAGAAAGGAGUAUUACAAUAAAAUUGCUGGAGAGGGAUGUAGUAGCUAAAGAAAGAAUUGCGGCAGCCUUAGAAACUUUAGCUACUACACACUACGGAUGAAUCAUAUGAAAGUUCUAUCUUUCAAAAAUUUGCAUAGUA